GGCGGGGAAGGCGGGUGUGCAGAGCUCUGUUUCCGCCCGGGCCUCGGGGGCUGCAGGGUCGCUUUUCGCCGCCAUGCGGGGCACCGGACGCUGACAGACCUUCGGGCCCGGUGGGCGGAAUGGAGAAUCGGAGUGUCCCUCCCGGGCCUUAUCGGGCCACUAAGCUGUGGAAUGAAGUUACCACAUCUUUUCGAUCAGGAAUGCCUCUCAGAAAACACAGGCAACACUUUAAAAAAUAUGGCAAUUGUUUUACAGCAGGAGAAGCAGUGGACUGGCUUUAUGACCUAUUAAGAAAUAAUAGCAAUUUCGGUCCUGAAGUUACAAGGCAACAGACUAUCCAGCUACUGAGAAAAUUUCUUAAGAACCAUGUAAUUGAAGAUAUCAAAGGAAAAUGGGGAUCAGAAAAUCUUGAUGACAACAGUCAGCUAUUCAGAUUUCCUGCAAAUUCUCCACUUAAAACUCUUCCACGAAGGUAUCCAGAAGUGAGAAAAAACAGCAUAGAGAACUUUUCCAAAGAUAAAGAUAGUAUUUUUAAAUUACGAAAUUUAUCCCGUAGAACUCCUAAAAAGCAUGGAUUACAUUUCUCUCAGGAAAAUACAGAGAAAAUGAAUCGUGACAUGAUCAGUGAAGAUCAAGAAAACUCAGUUGAUAAUAGAGAAAUAAACCAGAAAGAUGUUGAAGAAGUUUGGAGACAUGUUGUUCUGAUCUACCUGCAAACCAUUUUAGGUGUGUCAUCCCUGGAAGAAGUCAUAAACCCCAAACAAGUAAUUCCACAAUAUAUAAUGUACAACAUGACCAAUACAAGUAAACAUGGAGUAGUUAUACUACAAGACAAAUCAGAUGACCUUCCUCACUGGGUAUUAUCUGCCAUGAAGUGCCUAGCAAACUGGCCAAGAAGUAAUGAUAUGAAUAAUCCAACUUAUGUUGGAUUUGAACGAGAUGUAUUCAGAACAAUUGCAGAUUAUUUUCUAGAUCUUCCUGAACCUCUACUUACCUUUGAAUAUUAUGAAUUAUUUGUGAACAUUUUGGUUGUUUGUGGCUACCUCACAGUUUCAGAUAGAUCCAGUGGGCUACAUAAAAUCCAAGAUGAUCCACAGUCUUCAAAAAUCCUUCACUUAAACAGUCUGAAUUCCUUCAAAUCAACUGAGUGUCUUCUUCUCAGUCUGCUUCAUAAAGACAAAAACAAAGAAGAAUCAGAUACUACUGAAAGACUGCAGAUAAGCGAUCAAGGAUUUCAAGAAAAAUAUGCUAAGAAAAUGCAGCUAGUUAAUUUAAAAUACAGAAGAGCCAGUGCUAAUGACAUAAUGGGAGGAAGUUGUCAUAAUUUGAUAGGCUUAAGUAGUAUGCAUGGUCUAUGCUCUAAUAUCAAACCAAGGUGCUAUUCAUUAGAAGGAAUUAUAGAUUUACCAGGGAAUUCAAGUAAAGAGGUCUCCAGUGUCUUCCAUCAAUCUGUUCUGAACAUAGAAGGACAAAAUAAUAAACAUUUCUUAGAAUCUAAGGCCAAACAGGAAUCCUCACUGAGUCUUCAUUCAGAGCAAAAUAUUCAAAAGCCACUCUGUGUUGGUUUUAAGAGAACCUCUACUUUGACCAUUCAAGACCAAGAGGAGUUAUGUAAUGGGAAAUGCAAGUCAAAACAGCUUUGUAGAUCUCAGAGUUUACUUUUAAGAAGUAGUACAAGAAGGAAUAGUUAUAUUAAUAUGCCAGUGGCUGAAAUUAUCAUGAAACCAAAUCUUGGACGAGGCAGCACAAGUGUGCAAACAGCUAUGGAAGGUGAACUCCGAGAGUCUAGUACCACAAUCAAUAAAAGACUCUGCAAAAGUACAAUAGAACUUUCAGAAAAUUCUUUACCUCCAGCUUCUUCUGUAUUGACUGGCACACAAAGUUUGCUGCAACCUCAUUUAGAGAGGAUUGCCAUCGAUGCACUACAGUUGUGUUGUUUGUUACUUCCCCCACCAAAUCGUAGAAAGCUUCAACUAUUAAUGCGCAUGAUUUCUCGAAUGAGUCAGAAUGUUGAUAUGCCCCAACUUCAUGAUGCAAUGGGUACAAGGUCACUGAGCUGCCACUUUCUCAGAGUGCGGCUGCAAUUUAUAAGAUGCUCUGACAGCAAGGAAUCUGGAACUAAGCUCCAUUCUAAUACUCAUUAAGGACAGUUUUUUGAUAAUGAAAAAUCUAAUAUUAAGAGGAAGAAUUAAUCUAGAGUAAUUGUAGCAUCAUUAAAAAGUAUAGAUGAUACAUACUUUCUCUCGGUGUGUGUUACGCUGUGCUGAAGAGGUAGAUCUUGAUGAGCUUCUUGCUGCAAGAUUAGUUUCUUUCUUGAUGGAUCAUCAUCAGGAAAUUCUUCAAGUACCCUCCUACUUACAGACUACAGUGGAGGAACAUCUUGACUACUUAAGAAGGGGCCACAUUAAAAAUCCUAGUGAUGUCUUGAUUGCUCCUUUGCCAACAUAUUCAUACUGUAAACAGAUUAGUGCUCAGGAGUUUGAAGAACAAAAAGUUUCUACCUCUCAAGCUGCAAUUGCAGAACUUUUAGAGAAUAUUAUUAAAAACAAGAGUUUGCCUCUAAAGGAGAAAAGGAAAAAACUAAAACAGUUCCAGAAGGAAUAUCCCCUGAUCUAUCAGAAAAGAUUUCCCACGUCUGAGAGCGAAGCAGCACUUUUUGAUGACAAACCUACAAUCAAGCAACCCAUGCUAAUUUUAAGAAAACCAAAGUUUCGUAGUUUAAGAUACUAAUUGGAUUGAAAAUUAUGUAGUACUUGUGGAACUUUAGUAAGUGGAACCAUAUCUAAGAAUCCAGCUACUAAAAAGGAAGUCUGCUUAUUAAUAAGGCUUUUCUAAAUAAAAGAAAUUAUGUAAGGAGGUGCCAAAAUAGUUUUUAUCAACAUGAAACUGCUGAGAAACUUGUGGAUCUCAACUGAGAGCAAAUAACAAUAGGUGAUACCAGGUAUUUUAACCAGAAAUAAUCUUUUGUUUUUUUAUACAAUUAUCUGAAAAAGCUAUCAUGGUGUGUGCUAAAAUUUCAUUUACUUGAAUUUUGAAAACUGACAUGUGCUCAAGAUUAAGCUGUAAUUCUAUUAAGAAAACUUAUCUGCACAUAUGCUUAUGGAUGUGAGCUUAAGAACUAGUUGUUUAGGAUUACUUUUGUUUCUAAAUCUAAGAAUGUGAAGAAUAUUUGAAAAUUCAGUGAGUUAAUUUUUCAACUGCUAAAUAUUGCACUCUUGUAUAUUCUUUUUCUAUUUUUGAUCUAUUUAUCUAUGUGUGUGUUUAAAAUGUGUAUAUAUAAGACUUUGGUUUGCCUUAAACAUUUAUCCUAUCUACUUCAGUUAUUCUUUUUUUUUUAAUUAAUAUCUUUUUUCAUUCUUCAUGGAUCUACUAGGAGAUAAAGAUAUGAAAGUAGUAUAAGGCAAUCGUGUUUAUUUAAAACAUAUUUAUUUAGCAACUACUAUGACUAUGUGCCUUUUCAUUCUUCAAGAUGUGGAGACAAUGAUGAAUAAAACAGAAAAGUUUCUUCCCUAAAAGAGAGAUACCUAUCAGUUACUUAAAAUAACAAUAUACCCCAUGAAAUCAAGUCAUGAAGAUUCCUUCAGCUGAAGACCGGCCAUUUGGAUUAUGGAACAGUUCUCUAAGCCAGUUUCAAAUUGGUGCAUAUCAGAAUCACCUGGGAGAAUUUGAAAAUAAUACAUGCUCAGGCCAUAUAUUAUACUGAUUAAAUCAAAAUUUUAAAGAAUGGCAUAUAGGCUUUAGUAUUUUUUUAAACUCUAGGUGAUUUCAGUAUCCAGCCAACUUUGAGAAUCAGUGCCUGAAUAUUAUAAGUAAAAAUAUUUGAAAAUUAUAUUUUUUAUUAGUAAAAUAUUAGGCUAGUGACACACUGGUUUUAUUACUUCCUUGGAAGGAAAUGUCAAGUAUAAAUCCCUCUCAAUAGAAGGUUCUCUAAAUUUCUGCUUGACUAACGUGGUGCAAACUCGAAGCAGUUUUUCUUCCAAACUUUAUGAAAGAUUGUUUAAUAUCUGUUUGUUCGUGCAAAGACAUAUGUAAUGCCUUGGAUAGACACUUUUUGUGACUGUUUUGAUUUCUCCGUGUAAUGUCAUUACUGUGGAAUGACAAUGUCCCUUUUCAAAUCAAUAUUUUUAUUAAAAUAUGAACAGAAAAUAA